rnacentral:rRNA from 1 species
CACGUAGGGCGCAAGCGUUGUCCGGAAUUAUUGGGCGUAAAGAGCUCGUAGGCGGUCUGUUGCGUCCGCUGUGAAAACUCGGGGGCUUAACCCCGAGCCUGCAGUGGAUACGGGCAGACUAGAGGUAGGUAGGGGAGAAUGGAAUUCCCGGUGUAGCGGUGAAAUGCGCAGAUAUCGGGAGGAACACCGGUGGCGAAGGCGGUUCUCUGGGCCUUACCUGACGCUGAGGAGCGAAGCGUGGGGAGCGAACAGG